GGAUAUGGGAAGCAAUCCCCUUUUUAAGUGCAUUAUAUAGGUAAUAAAUUAACUAUAUAAAACAAAUACCCACAAUCACAGUCCUGCUGAUUCUGCAAGAACAGUUCAAACAGAAGCACCAAGCAGGCCCCUCCUAGACCAGGAAGAUGUUCCACCAAUCAUGAGCCUAUCUUUCUAGAAAGCGUUUUAUUCUUCAGUUGUUUUAUUCUUUAUUAUUUGUUUGCAUUUAUAUGGAGCUAACUUAUUAUAAAUGGGGGGCUUUAACAACAAUGAUACAGUUGAUACAUUUUGACAGAAACAAUAGGUUGAUGAGGACCAUGCAGGAACGACCUUACAAUCUAGAGGAGGUGGGUUUUAAAAACCACAAUGAGGGGAUGGCAACCAAGUGCCAGAGUGGGAAAUUAGCAGAAUUGGAAGGUGAGAGUGAAGUGGAGUGUGAACCCACUAGUAAAAUUGAGAGAGUAAUAGAUAGGUUUGAAGAAAGACAGUUACCAAGGGAGGCUAUAGGCUAUGACCCAGCAUCAUGCAGGGAGACAGCGCGGGAUGGAGAGGAGGCAGACACAGCAUGAGGGGAGAGGAGCACGAAGAGCUCCACACCCCUCACUCCCCCCAGCAGGACCAGGAGUUCAAGCCACCCUCCUGGACACACAAGGUAAGCUAACAGGAGGGUGGCUGGAGAUAUUACAAAAAAAGAAUUUGAGUGUGUGUAUUAGUGUAAGUAAGUGUGAGUAUGGG